rnacentral:rRNA from 1 species
UUUUUGAAUUAAUAUAAAGUCUAAUCUGCCCCCUGAUAAAUUAUUAAAGGGCUGCAGUAUUUUGACUGUACAAAGGUAGCAUAAUCAUUUGUCUCUUAAUUGGUGACUUGUAUGAAAGAUUGGAUGAAAUAUGAACUGUCUCAUUAUAAUAAGUAAAAUUUAAUUUUUUAGUAAAAAAGCUAAAAUAAUUUUAAAAGACGAGAAGACCCUAUAGAGUUUAAUAAUUAUUUUUAUAUAAGAAAAAAUAUAAAAAUUUAAAUUUAAAUAAAAGUAGUUAUUUUGUUGGGGUGAUAGAAAAAUUAAAUUAACUUUUUUUAAUAGAUAUACAUUAAUAAGUGAUUAAAUGAUCCAUUAAUAAUGAUUAGAAGAAAAAAUUACCUUAGGGAUAACAGCGUAAUUUUUUUUUUUAGGCCAAAUAAGAAAAAGAGUUUGCGACCUCGAUGUUGGAUUAAGAUAAAAUUUAAAUGUAAAAGUUUAAAGUUUUGAUCUGUUCGAUCAUUAAAA